CCUACUUAGUUUUCUCCAGAAGUAAUUUAGAUGUUGAGAAAACAAAGAGAGCCUACAAAGGUCUCAAAGCUGAGUCAAAACAAGCAGUGAACGAUGGGUGGCUGAAACAAUUUAUGGCAAUGUGUUUGUCAUCAGGAGUGGUUUUAGUUCAAGCUAAGGUAACUCCAUCUCAAGCUAUCAACGAUACUCCUCACUCACCAUGGGCUGCAAUUGGUGUUGAUGGUUGUGUAAUAUACGCUCAAGUAUUAACAAGAAAAUACUUAAUACUUCAUGAAAUAUGGUAAAAUGUUACAGAUUAGGAGAAGUCUGUAAUCAUAUUGGAUGUCUUUUACUAGUCAGUGUAUAUUCAGUCGAAAUUCAUGAAAGAAAAGGACGUACCGAG